CGGGCAUCAACCACGGAGGAGACCAGGGAUGCUGCUGACCGAAAAGAAGGGCGAGAGUGGCCAACGAGGACAGCGAACCAAUCUCUGUAGGUAGCAGAAUCCCAAGUUGAAAGCCUCUGCUCUUUAACACCUGUUGCAAUAACCCCGCAGGAAAGGCCCCGGGCAUCAACCACGGAGGAGACCAGGGAUGCUGCUGACAAAAAAGAAGGGCGAGAGUGGCCAACGAGGACAGCGAACCAAAGCACACUAGCCCAGUGAACACCGGAGGGAGAGAAACGGAGACAGACCAGGCAUUACCC